AUGGCCUCUUCGCCGCCGUCGUCGCAGCCGCGGGUGUGCGUCACCGGAGCCGGCGGGUACAUCGCCUCCUGGCUCGUAAAGCUGCUCCUCGCCCGCGGCUACGCCGUGCACGCCACCGUCCGCGACCCAUGUGAUCCAAAGAAUGCACGUCUCAAACAACUAGACAAGGCCCUGGAAAAUCUCCGUUUGUUCAAGGCAGACAUGCUUGACUACGACGCAGUGGCAACUGCGUUUGUCGGGUGCGAUGGUGUCUUCCAUCUUGCCUCUCCAGUGCCCAUAGACAAGAUGGUUGAUAAAGAGAAAGAGAUGAUGGCUCCUACUGUUAAUGGCACCAUGAAUGUACUUGAGGCUUGCUCUGCUAUGAGCGUUCAAAAACUUAUUGUGGUUUCAUCCGGCGCUGCUAUUACUUUGAACCCAAAUUGGCCUCUAGAUAAACUGAAAGAUGAGAAUUGUUGGUCAGACAAAGAGUUCUGCAAGGAAAAUGAGAUCUGGUAUGCCCUUGCCAAGACGGAAGCUGAAGAGAUGGCCCUCGAAUACGCAAAGAAAAAUGGAUUACAUGUCAUUACAUUUUGCUCCGGUGCGGUCUUUGGCCCACUGUUGCAGGCUGAUGUGCUCAAUAUUACCACCAAAUUCCUCCGCUAUAUCAUAAAAGGAGGUCCUGACACAAUAAAUAACAAAUUCUGGCCCAUAGUAGACGUCCGUGAUGUUGCUGAUGCACUACUGCUGUUAUACAACAAGGCAGGACCAUAUCAGAGGUACAUAUGUUCAGAACACCAAAUCGACAUAAAAGAUUUGGUGGAUUUGAUGAAGAGCAUGUACCCCAGCUAUAACUAUGUAGACAAACUGGUUGAUGUGAAUUAUAAGCUUGGGAUGAAUUCACAUAAACUUAAGAAUCUAGGAUGGAAACCGAGGAAGUUGGAGGAGACACUUGCAGAUAGCGUCGAGUCAUAUGAGAAAUCAGGAAUCCUUAAUGCGGAGGAGGAACCUUGUCGUGUUCCGUAUUUCUACCGUAUGCCACCUGUCCUGGAGUGA
rnacentral:rRNA from 1 species